AGUUCUUGAACAUCUUCAUCCAAACAUCAAAGCUUAUCAAAGGCUCACCAGGACAUGACAAGAAUGAUGAGGGAAAGAAGCAACUACAAAAAAAUUAUGAAAUAAUAAUGUUGUACUGUUUGCUCAAACAAGCACGAAGAGUCAGAUCCCAGAAUUUACAAUUUCACAGGUUUAUAAGCAUCAGAGUUUAACAACAAGCAAUUCCACAUGCCUACACACUUUCAGUUCUUCAACACCUUUUCUACAUACUAACGUAGUAACCUCUAGCGCCCUCUUGUGAUGAAUCUGUUAUACAAGAACACAACAUUAAUGUCAACUAAGCAUUAAAAGCAUCUCACUCAAAUUAGGCCCCAUGCACUGCUGUUUACAUGUUACAGUGUUAAAUAAGUAUGUUAAUAAGAGUUGACCUGUCAAAAUGCUAACUUUUUUAUUAAUUAUUGAAAGUAUAUUGCAAUACAAGGGUGUUUUGUAUCUGUACAUAUGGACAAUGAGUUUAUAAAUGUUGUGUCUUGACCUUAACAAUAAGAAAGAUGAUAUGUAGUUAAUAUUUUUAUUCUCUUAAAAUAAAUGCCUUACUAUUCAUGCCAGAAGACGAUCAGCAGGGGUGGAUUUAGUGAUUUGGGGGUCCUAAUUAAUUCCGGCCUGAAAGUUCUAAAAUGCACCUUUGAACUAAUUCAUUCACUUUUGAACUAAUUUAUUUUUAAUUGAUUUAUUUUGCUGUUCUUAUUUUUAUAUCACGCAAUCUCCUUCUCUACAAUUUGUCUUAAUGCAAAUUAAUACUAAUAAGAACAUGUAAAGCAUCUUGUAAAACUUUUUAAAUUAUUUGUUUUCUUAAAAUGGAUUCACAACCAAAAAAUGAUAUAGUAACUAUUUCGUUUUUAAAACGAAAUCUUUACUUAAUGGGGUUUAUGCACACAGACUUAUAGUUUUCAGCCAGCCAGCCCGACGGCUUUUUGUGAACUGUCUUUCCAUUACAAAAUCGUCAUGUUUAAGAUCUGUUUUCUUUAAAAAUAAGUGAUCUUCACUGCCUGAUAUAGAUACAAUAUAAAGUUAGUCUUAGACUGGACAAGAAGCACUGCAUUAAAUUACAUUUUCCCCUGCCAUCUUUUCAAAACAUGAACAUUUAUUUUACCUCAGUAUAUUGAAUGGAGUUUCUGCGCUGGUACUAGCAUGCUAGUACUGACGGCGCUAGCAGUAACACUUUCUUUCGUCUUUCGAAUGUUUAAGUUUAUUUAACUGAUUGUAUUUUAAUUACAUUACAAUGUCGAUGCUGUUAAAGGAACCUUAUACACUUAAAAAUAGUCACCUUUCACCAGACGUUUACCGUUGGCAGAAAAACACUGGCUGUGCAUAUAGCCCAUUUGACUGCUGGACUGCUCCAUGAUUGAGGGUAAGGGACACAUUUGCGAUGUAAUAAACAUUAAACUUGUUUUUUUUAGACCCUCGUCAUACAAAAUAUGAUAGAAAAUGAUGUUAUAUAUCAUUUAUAGGUAUAAUUUAUAUUUCUAGGUAUUUAUUUGAAGACCCUCAGGAUUUCCUGGGGCCAUAAGGGGCCGCCAACCUUGCUUAUUGGUUAAAUCCACCCCUGACGAUCAUUUUCUAAUAAAUCCCCUGGCUGUGUUUUCUAGUGAAAAAAAGCAAACAAUGAUAGUUUCCCUUCCCUUAGUUAUAUUAAAGCUUUGCUUUCUAAAGUAUGCGGGACUUUUAUUUUGAAACCGCAACCGCAGAUUGUUUACUGUUGUUGCGUUACUGGGCAACAACUGCACUAGACAUAUUCAAACUCUCGUCAGGCCACAAAAUGGAAGAUUUUCAGAUUAUACAUUCAUUUAGCAUCACUCCGAAUAGGCAUUAAGGUAUAUUUAAUUGUGUCUUGUGUUAAUGUGUUGUGAAAUCUGAAGCGUUUCAACAUGAAACACAUGUAGACCACUGAAAUGUGUCAGAUCACUCAGCUCAACUGUCAUGGGAGGAGAUGGUACAUCAUGCUCUGUUCGUUUGUGUGAGAGAACUGCAAAGAGCGACACGAUCCAUCUACGACUACAUGAUACUUCAGCUGACUGACAUCUACAUGUAUCUGAGGAGCACAAUGACACAUUCAAUCUGAUGUUCAGGUGUAUAUCAGGAUUGUGAACAGACGUUUCAGUGAUAUGAUACAGAAGAUGAUGAAGCGCAGGACUGUGUUAUUCUGAAAUGCAUUGCUUUCCAUGCAUACCUUUAUGCGCCUGAAAGAAACUCCAAAAAUGUGACUCUCGCUCAACUUUUGGGGUCAUUCAAACGAUUCUCGGAAGCAUUGCAGUCAAUUUGAGGUGGCAAAGUAAAGUUUUUCGUCACCCUUGUGUGCUCGUAAUGAUAUAAUCACCUGUGCCAGGUGGCUGAGGGGGUAUUUCACAAUUGAAGUGUGAACUUUAAUGGCCAACUUAGUUCCACUGAACGACUCCAAUGAGUCACACGCUCCAGGCGACACUCCCACCCGUAUUUUCAGCUUUUUUGACUCCCAAAUCCAACAGCAUUUUGUGCAUACUUUUAAAGCACUUAAAUAAAAGCUAGAAUCCAUUCA